GCACAAGCAGUGGAGUAUGUGGUUUAAUUCGACGCAACGCGAAGAACCUUACCAAGUCUUGACAUCCUGCGACGCACAUAGAAAUAUGUGUUUCCUUCGGGACGCAGAGACAGGUGGUGCAUGGUUGUCGUCAGCUCGUGUCGUGAGAUGUUGGGUUAAGUCCCGCAACGAGCGCAACCCUUAUGGUCAGUUACUACGCAAGAGGACUCUGGCCAGACUGCCGUUGACAAAA
rnacentral:rRNA from 1 species